GCCCAGUUAGCUCAGUUAGUUAGAGCAUGGUGCUAAUAAUGCCAAGGUCAUGGGUUUGAUUCCAAUAUGGGCU